rnacentral:sRNA from 1 species
UUAAAUUAAUACCUCUCUAAAUUAAUCAAUUUUCUUGGUCCCAAUAUUAUUAAUUUAUAGAGAUUUUACUGUAAAUGAUAAAACCUAGUGAAUCUAAUACUCGAUACCAAAACAACAAUUGCAAAUAAGAGAAAGAACCAUAAAAUUUGAAUUAAGAUCAUAAAUACUAAUAAAUUUAGACAAACUGUAGUUAACUAGUCAACCAUAACAAUUAGCCUAUAUGAUGAUUUUCCUCAUGUAAGCAAUAAGUUUCUAUCAGAGAAUCUUAACCUAUAAACUACAGAAGUAUGAUAUUAUAAUUAACAAGGUUACAAAUAUGAGUGUGAUCACCCAUAACUAUUUAUCUUCUGAUCCUCAGAUAGAUUUGACAACGACGUGAUAAAACCUAAUGAAUCUAAUCCUUGAUACCAAACAUCAAAGGCGAAAUCAAAAUUAGAACGAAUUUGAUAGAAAUCAGAGAUGAUUCUUGCAAUUUCUUGACUCGAUUUCAAAACUCAGAGUGCCUUGUUCUCGUAACCCAAUGGGAGAAACACACGACCACCGAACAAAAAUCAAAUUUCUGAGGAAUACGAAAAAUGAAACUAACCAAAGAUAUGAAGAGUGAAAUCAGUUUGUUACCUUUUGAUUUUUUGUGUGGUUUUCUCGUAAUCGGAUGAACAAAACCUUCUCUCGAUACCAAUCUACAAAAUCAAAAUUGAAAUUAUGAGGAAGAAAAAAACUCGAUUGAACAAUUCUAAGAAUUUGAAUUUGAUUACUUUCUCUCGUAAUGAAUUCGAAAAACAGAUGAGAGUGCGAGAGAAAGAUGAAUUUAAUUUAACAAUGAAAUUGUAAUAUUACUUCGAAUUUCUUUAUAUAGAGGUCAGGUUCGUUUUGAUCCGAGCCUAAAAAAAUAAUAUUCUAACGGUCUAAAAUUCUUUUCAACGGGUCAGUUUAAU